UUGGGUUGUAAAGCUCUUUCGUCGGGGAAGAAAAUGACUGUACCCGAAUAAGAAGGUCCGGCUAACUUCGUGCCAGCAGCCGCGGUAAUACGAAGGGACCUAGCGUAGUUCGGAAUUACUGGGCUUAAAGAGUUCGUAGGUGGUUGAAAAAGUUGGUGGUGAAAUCCCAGAGCUUAACUCUGGAACUGCCAUCAAAACUUUUCAGCUAGAGUUUGAUAGAGGAAAGCAGAAUUUCUAGUGUAGAGGUGAAAUUCGUAGAUAUUAGAAAGAAUACCAAUUGCGAAGGCAGCUUUCUGGAUCAUUACUGACACUGAGGAACGAAAGCAUGGGUAGCGAAGAGGAUUAGAUACCCUCGUAGUCCAUGCCGUAAACGAUGUGUGUUAGACGUUGGAAAUUUAUUUUCUGUGUCGCAGCGAAAGCGAUAAACACACCGCCUGGGGAGUACGACCGCAAGGUUAAAACUCAAAUGAAUUGACGGGGACCCGCACAAGUAGUGGAGCAUGUGGUUUAAUUCGAAGAUACGCGCAGAACCUUACCAACACUUGACAUGUUCGUCGCGACUUUAAGAGAUUAAAGUUUUCGGUUCGGCCGGACGAAACACAGGUGCUGCAUGGCUGUCGUCAGCUCGUGUCGUGAGAUGUUGGGUUAAGUCCCGCAACGAGCGCAACCCUCACUUUUAGUUGCCAUCAUUUAGUUGGGCACUCUGAAAGAACUGCCAGUGAUAAGCUGGAGGAAGGUGGGGAUGACGUCAAGUCCUCAUGGCCCUUACGUGUUGGGCUACACACGUGCUACAAUGAUAUCUACAACAGGAGGC
rnacentral:rRNA from 1 species